UAAUCAAAAAAAUCUGAAAGAUUGAAUUUUGGACCAAACUAGACAAGGCUUAUUUAUAGUCCCUUUUAACUUGUGCUCACCAAAGUUGAACCUCCAAAAAUGGCAUACCACCAAACUGCGUCAUCUCCAAAAUUUCCCUGCUUUCUUAUUCUUCUGGUCAUCACUGUAUUUUGUUGUUGUUUUGCAACAGCAAAAACCCAGAAGAGUUUAAAAAGAGGUUCUUCUUUUUCAGUUGAAGAUGAUUCUGGUUUCCUAACUUCCCCAGAUGAGUCUUUUACAUGUGGGUUCUAUGGGGUGGGCACAAAUGCCUACUGGUUCUCCAUUUGGUUCACAAAUUCCGAGAACAAGACCCUUGUUUGGAUGGCUAACAGAGACAGACCAGUCAAUGCUUUGGGGUCCAGAGUCUCACUGAGUCGAGAUGGCACCAUGGUCUUGACUGAUGUGGACGGCAAAAUUGUCUGGGAGAGCAGCACCAACUCAACUCCCACUGGUGCUGAAAGGGCGGAGCUUAUGAAUUCUGGCAACCUUGUUUUGAAAAACCCACUAGGUAAAAUUCUCUGGCAAAGCUUUGAUUUUCCCACUGAUACUCUCCUCCCAAAUCAACCCUUUACAAAGACCAUGAAGCUGACAUCUAGUUUGGGAAGAGGCAACUUUGGUACUGGCUAUUUUAGUUUCUAUUUUGAUAAUGACAAUGUUUUGAGGUUGAUUUAUGAUGGUCCCGACAUAUCAAGUGUGUAUUGGCCUGGGCCUGGUUUGAGUGUAUAUCAGAAUGGUAGAACAGACUACAAUAGUAGUAGAAUUGCUGUUUUUGAUGAAAUGGGUAAUUUUGUAUCCAGUGAUGACUUGAUAUUCAGUGCUUCUGACAUGGGUGCAAGGGUGAAACGGAGGUUGACAACGGAUUAUGAUGGAAACCUGAGGCUUUAUAGUCUAAACUCGACAGGAUCAUGGGUGAUCACCUGGCAAGCUCUUGUACAGCAGUGUAGGGUGCAUGGGAUCUGUGGGAGAAAUGGGAUUUGUGUUUAUACACCAGAGCUCAAGUGCUCAUGCCUUCCUGGCUAUGAGUUAGUGGAUACAAGUAACUGGAACAAGGGUUGCAAGCCUAAGUUCAAGCCUACAUGCUCUCAGUCCCAGAGAGUGAAAUUCAAGCAGAUUCACUCAAUUACAGUGAAUCCACUUCCAUUCAGAAUUGCACACAACUCUGUGUCGAGGAUUGCCGUUGUGAAGCAUUUGUCUAUAGGGGACAGAAGUGUUACACAAAAGGUGCUCUCUUCAGUGGGCUCAGGUCUCCAACUAUCGAGGGCAGUCUAUACUUAAGGCUGCCUGAGCCUCUGAGUAUGGAAACAUCACCAGCGGCCAAUCUCACUGUAUUUAAUUCAUGCAGGACUAAUGCUGUUAAAAUAGGUACUUCUUCAAUGUAUGACAAUCCCAGUAAAAGGGUGAGAUGGGUAUAUCUGUAUUCUUUUGCUGCUGCAAUCGGUGCUGUUGAAUUUCUCUUCAUAUUAUCAGGUUGGUGGUUUCUUUUCAGAAGAUCACAAGGUGUGGCAGCUCCCUUGGUAGAUAAAUAUCGCUUGAUUUCAAGUAACUUUAGAAUGUAUCUCUAUGCUGAGCUGAAGAAAGCAACCAGAAACUUCAAGGAAGAACUGGGAAGAGGGGGUUCUGGGACUGUAUAUAAGGGUGUUCUGGCAGAUGAAAGAGUGGUAGCUGUCAAGGCAUUGGCAGAUAUUUAUCAAGCGGAAGAAGUAUUUUGGGCAGAAGUCAGCACAAUUGGAAAAAUCAAUCACAUGAACCUAGUGAGAACAUGGGGAUUCUGUUCUGAAGGUAAACACAGACUUCUAAUCUCUGAAUAUGUUGAAAAUGGAUCGUUGGAUAAGCACUUGUUUCCCCCAAAUUUUCUUGGAUGGAAAGUGAGGUUCAAAAUUGCAAUAGGGAUAGCUAAAGGUUUAGCCUAUCUUCACCAUGAGUGUCUAGAAUGGGUUAUCCAUUGUGAUGUGAAGCCUGAAAAUAUACUCCUAGACAGUAAUUUUGAACCAAAGAUUGCAGAUUUCGGGCUGGCAAAGUUAUUCCAGAGAGGCGGCCUCAAUGCAGUGUCCUCUCACAUUCGAGGAACAAAAGGGUAUAUGGCCCCGGAGUGGGCUAUGAACCUUUCAAUCACUGCAAAAGUGGAUGUUUACAGUUAUGGUGUAGUGCUUCUAGAGAUAGUGAAGGGCAUUCGACUUUCGAAUCGGGUGGUGGAGAAUGCUGAGGAGGAAGAAGCAGAGAUGAAGAGGUUUGUCAGGAUAGCCAAAAGGAAAAUUCAAUGUGGGGAAGAUGAAUGGAUAGAGGAUAUGUUGGAUCCAAGAUUGGAAGGGCAGUUCGGCAGGAACCAAGCAGCAAAGAUGGUUGAGAUUGGUAUUUCCUGUGUAGAGGAAGAUAGGAACAAAAGACCAACAAUGGAUUCAGUAGUGCAGAUGUUGCUAGAUUGUGAACAGGAAUCCAACAUGCAGUAGUAAUUGCAUUUAAGCUGUGUGCUGUAAGUAAUGUUGCUUUUUGAAUUACAAAUGUUUACUUGAACUGUAUUGUGUAUUCGUCUGCAAAUGAGUAAUAAAAUAUAGAUUAUAAU